rnacentral:rRNA from 1 species
CAGCAGCCACGGUAAUACGGAGGGAGCUAGCGUUGUUCGGAAUUACUGGGCGUAAAGCGCGCGUAGGCGGCUUCUUAAGUCGGAUGUGAAAUCCCUGAGCUUAACUUAGGAAUUGCAUUCGAUACUGGGAAGCUAGAGUAUGGGAGAGGAUGGUAGAAUUCCAGGUGGAGCGGUGAAAUGCGUUGAGAUCGGAAAGAACACCAACGGCGAAAGCACUCUGCUGGGCCGACACUGACACUGAGAGACGAAAGCUAGGGGAGCAAAUGGGAUUAGAUACCCCGGUAGUCCCUGUCUCUUAUAC